rnacentral:rRNA from 1 species
UACAGAGGGCGCAAGCGUUAAUCGGAAUUACUGGGCGUAAAGCGUGCGUAGACGGUUACAUAAGUCGGGUGUGAAAGCCCCGGGCUCAACCUGGGAAUUGCAUUCGAGACUGCGUAGCUAGGGUGCGGAAGAGGGAAGCGGAAUUUCCGGUGUAGCGGUGAAAUGCGUAGAGACCCGGAGGAACACCAGUGGCGAAGGCGGCUUCCUGGUCUGCGACUGACGCUGUGGCGCGAAAGCUAGGGGAGCAAACGGG